rnacentral:rRNA from 1 species
UGUGUAAAAGAAUUAAGCCNUGCAUGUAUAAGUAUGAGCUGAAAUAAAGUGAAACCGCGAAUGGCUCAUUAAAUCAGUUAUGAUUCACUGGCCGAGACUGUGAUACAUGGAUAACUGUGGUAUUCUAGAGCUAAUACAUGCUGCUGAGUUUCGUUUACCGGAUCUGAUUCGGUAUCGGGACGCUUUUAUUGGCUCAAAACCAUUGGAUGUUCCGGCGGAUUCGUCCGUCGGGCGCCACAUAUCCGUUGAAUCACAAUAACAUUGUGUGGAUCGUACGGUCUAGUACCGACGACGCGGCCAUCAAGUGUCUGCCCUAUCAGCUCUCGUCGGUUGGCUAUUGGCUGACCGUGGCUGUGACGGGUGACGGGGAAUCUGGGUUCGAUUCCGGAGAGGGAGCCUGAGAAACGGCUACCACAUCUAAGGAAGGCAGCAGGCGCGUAACUUACUCACUCCCGGUACGGGGAAGUAGUGACAACAAAUACCUUACGGAGGUGCUGUUCUCAGCAUCUCCUAAACGGAAUGAGUACAAUGUGAAUCCUUUAACGAGGAUCAACUGGAGGGCAAGUCUGGUGCCAGCAGCCGCGGUAAUUCCAGCUCCAGUAGCAUAUAUUAAAGUUGUUGCGGUUAAAAAGCUCGUUAUUGAAACUCAAUGCGCGUUCUUAAUCUGCACGCUCAAUUGAUGUGCACUUUGUGCGACACGUUUGCUGGCCUGCGCCCGAAAGGGCAUGCGUCAGUGGCGUGUUGUGCGAUUUGCUAUUCUAUCAUUGAGCAUAAAAGUGCGGAUUGGCGGCAUUAUGUGAUGUGCCGGAUCCGUUGGUGGGCUCCGCAAGGGGCCUGCGCAAACGGCCGGCAACGUUACCUUGAACAAAUUAGAGUGCUCAAAGCGGGCGAUAUUGUAUGCCCGAAUACAUUUUCAUGGAAUUGGAGAAUAUGUCCCUUGCUCGAUUUGGUUGGUUUCAAGAGCAAAAGGGAAAUGAUUAAAAGGGACGGACGGAGGCAUUUGUACUGAGGUGCUAGGAGUGAAAUCCUUGGACCAUCUCAAGACAAACUACUGCGAAAGCAUUUGCCAAGAAUGUUUUCAUUAAUCAAGAACGAAAGUUAGAGGUUCGAAGGCGAUCAGAUACCGCCCUAGUUCUAACCGUAAACGAUGUCGACCAGCAAUCCGCAUAAAUCAUAUAUUGAUUGAAUAUGCGGGAAGCUCUCCCGGGAAACCAGAGUCUCUGGCCUCCGGGGGGAGUAUGGUUGCAAAACAGAAACUUAAAGGAAUUGACGGAGAGGCACCACCAGGAGUGGAGCUUGCGGCUUAAUUUAAAUCAACACGGAAAAAUUUACCAGGCCCGAACACUAUAAGGAUUGACAGACUGAGAGCUCUCUCAUGAUUGAGUGGCUAGUGGUGCAUGNCCGUUCUUAGUUGGUGNAGUGAUUUGUCUGGUUUAUUCCGAUAACGAACGAGACUCUGUCCUACUAAAGUUGACGUCUUAUAUCGGCACUCGUUCGCUGCGUGCGUGGUCAUUCGUGAUCGCGUGCCUGGCGUUCGGGUGCUUUGUGUCUCUGUGACACAAAGGCGAGCUUCUUAGAGGAAUUAUCGGCACUCUCAGUCGAAUGAAAGAGAGCAAUAACAGGUCUGUGAUGCCCUUAGAUGUUCUGGGCUGCCCGCGUGUUACAAUGAAAUGGUCAACACGCGGUGGUUUAAUCGUUCGCCUCCGACAGGUGGUGAUAAACGUUUGAACCCAUUUCGUAAUGGGAAUUGAGGGUUGCAAUUGUCCCUCAUGAACGAGGAAUUCCUAGUAAGCAUGGGUCAUUAAUCUGUGUUGAUUAAGUCCCUGCCUCUUGUCACACCGUCCGUCGCUACUACCGAUGAAUGAUUUGGUGAGGUCGCCGGACCAGUCCGCAGGCUUCGGUCUAGUGGAAAGGAAAGGCGCCCAAACUUGGUCAUUNAGAGGAAG